rnacentral:rRNA from 1 species
GAGGGUGAUGCCUGCCCAAUGGUUGUAUCUAAAAGCGGUUGAUAAAAGUCGACCUCGUAAGGACAAUUGAAUGGCCGCGGUAACACUGACCGUGAUAAUGUAGCGUAAUCAAUAGCCAAUUAAUUGUUGGCCAGUAUGAAUGGCGCCACGAAGGCCCCACUGUCUUAAGGAAAUUCCCAGUGAAAUUGAAUUCGUAGUGAAGAUGCUACGUUCAAUUUGUUAGACGAAAAGACCCCGUUGAGCCUUACUGGGGCACUUACACCGCCCCGGCCUUCCCGUGUCCGGGAACCGGCCGAAUUUAAAUGGGUGGUUUAGACUAUGUGGCAGCCCCCCGCCGGGGCAGAUGACACCCCACUCCCCCAUGUCAAAGGGGCUAACCCCCCCCUUGGGGGGGACAGUGUAAGUAGGACAGUUUGGUUGGGGCGACCGCCUUUUAAAGAGUAACGAAGGUGCGCUUAAGGUGCGCAAUUAAUGACUGAAGCCUGACUGCGAGGGGGACACCCCGAGCAGACACCCCUAAGCCCGCCCGAAGGGCGGCGGUGGGGUGG